rnacentral:lncRNA from 1 species
UAUCAAAUAUUUUCUCUAUCUGCAUCAUCCAUCGUUCUGCCACCAUUGGAUCAGACUCACCACUAAAACUGGGAGGACUAAGCUUCUUAAACUGUUCAAUUCCCAACCCCGUCUGGUUUGAUGUCCCUGUUCCAUCAUUUCUUCCUCGUAGGACAGGUUGUUGUUGUUGUUGCAUCAUUUGGGCCAUAGUCUCCAAAGUCCGCAUGAUACCACUCAAUUGAUCAGUAGUAGAUGCAACAGGAGAACCAGAUGAUCUCGUCAUCCUUGCUUCCUAAAACAUCAAAAGAACAUUUUCUUUGAUCAAUCUCUAAAUGAUAGUCAAUAAACCUCAAAAAAAGAAUAUUCUUAGUGAUUCUCAAAUCAUGCUUUGAUACCAACUCUGUCACGCCCCUCAAAAU